UCCAUUUUAAUUUAAAUAUUUCCGAAAAAAACUCGAGCCUACCCUGCCCGAUCAUGCUAGACCCGCCCGGAGAUUCCCGACUCUCUUUUCUUCCCACCUGGAGCUAGGGUUCUGUACCACCCCCAUGCUUCGUCAAUCCAGCCUUGUACUGCCAAAUUCGCCAAUUUUCUUUAGUCGUGAAUUCUGGUUCAUCUUUAAACGAACAGGAAGAGCGAGAGCAUGAAGAGGUCACAUCGUAAUGGCUCCUCUCCUCAUUCAAAAGAUGAGCAGAACAAAAGAUACUACACUUCUGCAUCUCAGAACCCUCCUAUUGACUCAGCUUCUAAGCAGAAUCACCAUGAUCAAUCGCAGCAGAAGACGGGUAAGUGCCCAACUUUUGCUUCAUACCUGGAAACCCCCAAUUUACCACCCAAAAUCAAAUUACUGUGUGAAGUCGUAGCCAACACACACUCUCUCCAAGUGGAGAAGGUUCUCGACGAUACUGGCGUUCGGGUUUCACAGGAAGAUGUCGAAGAAGUGUUGAAACUCUCUUAUGGGUUCCCUGCUUCGGCUGUCAAGUUCUUCCGGUGGGCUGGGCAUCAGCUCAAAGACCAUCACAGUCCAUAUGCUUGGAACUUGGUUGUUGACAUGUUGGGAAAGAAUGGCUUGUUUGACGCAAUGUGGGACGCUAUAAAGUCCAUGAGGAAAGAAGGGUUGCUUUCGCUUGCGACGUUCGCAUCAGUUUUUAGUAGUUAUGUGGUUGCGGAUCGCGUUCAAGAAGCUAUCAUGACAUUUGAAGUGAUGGAUCAAUAUGGUUGUGCGCGAGACAUUGUAGCGUUGAAUUCCCUACUUAGUGCUAUAUGUAGGGAAGCAAAGACUGCCAAGGCUGUGGACUUCUUGCACAUUGCAAAGGAUAAAAUUCGGCCUGAUGCAGAUACAUAUGCAAUUUUAUUGGAGGGGUGGGAAAAUGAGGGUGAUGCAGAUGGUGCCAGGAAAACAUUUGCGGAGAUGGUGGUUGAUAUUGGUUGGGAUCCAGGGAAUGUGCCUGCUUAUGAUUCGUAUUUGAAUACUUUGCUAAAGGCUCCUGAUGUUGGUUUACGUGAGGCAUUGAAAGUUUUUGAUACGGUGAAGGAUAGGAGGUGCCUUCCGGGGAUGAAGUUUUUAAAGGCUGCACUUGAGGAAUGUUUGAAGAUGGGUGAUGCCCGAGGGGCUGGUUCUCUUUGGCAAGCAAUGAUGGGGAGAAAUGGUUGUAGACCUGAUACCCAGUUGUACAACUCCAUGAUUGCCAUGCAUUGUUAUAUUAAUGACAUGGAUAUGGCAAGAAAGUUGUUGGAUGAGAUGGUUUAUAAUGGGGCAUUCCCAGAUUCUAAAACUUAUAAUUUGGUGUUCCAGUUCUUUAUCAAGACAAGGAAGUUGCAUGAUGCUUGGGUAAUAUUUAACGAGAUGAUUAAAAAUGAGUGUGUUCUGAGCCAAGCAAAUUGCCAUGCGGCAGUUAGGAUAUAUAUGGAUAUUGGGGACCCUUAUAUGGCUAUAAAGGUUUGGAAAUUUAUGAUUGAGAAUUACAAGUCUGAUUUGGAGGAGAUUGGGAAUUUUCUGGUAGUUGGCCUCCGUGACGCUAACAGGGUCCCGGAAGCAGUGAAGUAUGCUGAGGACAUGAUUGAUCGUGGGAUCAAGUUGAACUCUUCCACACUGACAAAGUUAAAACAAAGUCUAUGUAGAGUGGAAUGAUGCAGGAACCCUCGCAUAUUUGACACCGUACCUAAGCGCUGACACGGCGCGUUGCUUCGGGGCGACGACCUAGGCCACCCUUGCCCACUUUUUGCUACACCUGGGUGGUUCAAGUGUAAAGCAUCGCUCGUAGGGGAUGCCCUAGCAAAUAUUUGUUUGGAAAGCUAUAUAAUAGUGGAAAGUGUGAAACAUGGUCACUGUACAAUACUGGAAGGACACCUAAUGUUCUGCUGAAGCAAAAUAAACAGUUGUCCUGGGAAAGACGAUGAGAAAAUAGAAGCAAUGCAUUACAAGUUGAAAAUUUGACCAACCAAGAAAAUUAACUUGGGGGAAUGAAUUGGCGAAUAGUACAAUGAAGAUGUAGAGAUUGAUUUAAGAAGAAUAAUUGGCAGGAAAUAGGUUUUUCUUGAAGUUUUGAUGGCGACGGAGGUUUUCUUUUUCCCCUGUCAAAUUCACCUGAAUAUGUUGGUUGAAGAAAUUGGAACUUGAAGUUUUGAGUUUCUAGCUAUUCUCUGGCAGUAGGGACCACGAGAAAUUUCACACCUUCCUUGGGAUUUAGAAAAUGGAGGGUUUAAUGUGGUUACUGGGGUUUCUAUUGGAGGAUGUCACGCUGCAUUCCAUUCUUGCAGGUGCAAGAAAAUACUAGGUCGCCAGUUGAUAAUGCGAAGGUUGACACUGUUCUACAGGUAGAACGCUCGGUGCAAUGAUGGUGGCAGUUGCAUAACUGGAAGAUCUCAGUAGUCCAUCUAUGUUUUUAACGUUGUAAUCUUUCUUCAAAUGCACAUCAUUGUUUAUGAAUGUAAUUACUAAUUUCCUAACAAAAAGAAUUGCGUUGGUGAACAAUAUUUGUAGAUUAUGCUUUUGGUUGUCACUUAAUCAAACAAGCUGAUCCAUUUUGU